rnacentral:rRNA from 1 species
GCUUACGGCCAUACCAGCCUGGGUACGCCCGAUCUCGUCUGAUCUCGGAAGCUAAGCAGGGUCGGGCCCGGUUAGUACUUGGAUGGGAGACCGCCUGGGAAUACAGGUGCUGUAAGCA